CCUACGGGUGGCAGCAGUGAGGAAUAUUGGUCAAUGGACGAGAGUCUGAACCAGCCAAGUAGCGUGAAGGAUGACUGCCCUAUGGGUUGUAAACUUCUUUUAUAUGGGAAUAAAAUGUUCCACGUGUGGGAUUUUGUAUGUACCAUAUGAAUAAGGAUCGGCUAACUCCGUGCCAGCAGCCGCGGUAAUACGGAGGAUCCGAGCGUUAUCCGGUUUUAUUGGGUUUAAAGGGAGCGUAGGUGGAUUGUUAAGUCAGUUGUGAAAGUUUGCGGCUCAACCGUAAAAUUGCAGUUGAAACUGGCAGUCUUGAGUACAGUAGAGGUGGGCGGAAUUCGUGGUGUAGCGGUGAAAUGCUUAGAUAUCACGAAGAACUCCGAUUGCGAAGGCAGUUCACUGGACUGCAACUGACACUGAGGCUCGAAAGUGUGGGUAUCAAACAGGAUUAGAUACCCCUGUAUC
rnacentral:rRNA from 1 species